rnacentral:rRNA from 1 species
GAUUGAACGCUGGCGGCAGGCCUAACACAUGCAAGUCGAGCGGAUGAAGAGAGCUUGCUCCUGGAUUCAGCGGCGGACGGGUGAGUAAUGCCUAGGAAUCUGCCUGGUAGUGGGGGAUAACGUCCGGAAACGGGCGCUAAUACCGCAUACGUCCUGAGGGAGAAAGUGGGGGAUCUUCGGACCUCACGCUAUCAGAUGAGCCUAGGUCGGAUUAGCUAGUUGGUGGGGUAAAGGCCUACCAAGGCGACGAUCCGUAACUGGUCUGAGAGGAUGAUCAGUCACACUGGAACUGAGACACGGUCCAGACUCCUACGGGAGGCAGCAGUGGGGAAUAUUGGACAAUGGGCGAAAGCCUGAUCCAGCCAUGCCGCGUGUGUGAAGAAGGUCUUCGGAUUGUAAAGCACUUUAAGUUGGGAGGAAGGGCAGUAAGUUAAUACCUUGCUGUUUUGACGUUACCAACAGAAUAAGCACCGGCUAACUUCGUG